UGCCCAGCAACUCCUAUCCCUACCUCCUCGUGGUACCGACCGGAAACUAUGAGCAACCUUAGGGAAGAUCGGGUAACCAACCCCGGUGGGAAUUUUGGUCAUAGGCUGACAGGGAAGG
rnacentral:ribozyme from 1 species